rnacentral:lncRNA from 1 species
UGCGCUUCGGCCAAGCCGCCCCCCUGAAGCUGGCGCGGGGCCCGGGCGCCGCCUCGCGGGUCACCAUGCGUGCCCACGUGGUCUCCGGGGCGCACUGCACUGAGGGGGCGCGCAGACUGGGCCCCGGCCGGCGGGGGUCGCAGGUACGUGGCUCAAAGUGCCCCGCCCCGCCCCUGCCUUUCCCGUGGUCCUCGCAGUUCUGGCCACCGCCGGGUGUCUCCGGGUCAGUGACUCCUCCUGUCGCCCGUCUCACCCUUUGCUGCUGCAGGUCGCUCUGGACCAGGAGAUGGGGGCGAGCCUUCAGGGAGGGCAGACGGAGGCUUCUCCGCGGCCGCGGCCGUCGGAGGUGUCAUGGCAGUUGUGAUAUUUAUCUUGCUAUGCAUCACUGCCAUAGCGAUAUGCAUUCAUCCACAGAGGUGGCUAUACCAAAAGAAUGAUUCAGAUGUCUCAAAACCUGGAGACCAUGCUGAGACUGCUCUGAGAAGUGAGCUCAACUUGCAAAAUGCAGUCAGUGAAAGUCAGAAGGAGUGUUUCUUCUGAUCAGCAGCUGUGAUUUCCUUUCUGCUAUGACAGUGUAGCCUUCAUGAGAUGGAACUCAGGACCUUGGGCUUGGGAGGCAGGCAUCGUGUCACCGAGCUACAUCCCCGGCCCACGUCAUGCAUUUCUUAAAGGCCAGCUGUGGAAUUCCAAGACAUAACUCCAUUUCGGCUCCCGGUCACAACUGAGACCUCAGUGAUCUGGUGAUGCUGUGAUUCUCCAGGACAAGAUUACACCAGCUGAAAACAUCCUGGGAAGAACAAACAUCUACUCAGUUCUUCAUUGUUCUUGGAUUGUUAUGCUUUGUUUAUCUGAUGUACUGAAUUCUCCGCAAGUCAUUUGUUACAUCAGUUUCUCCCAAUGUACUGAAUAAAAGAUGCGCAUGCUGAGCUGCUGAGCCCAUUCGUGGGUGAAUCCCCAUGACCUCCACGAUCCUAUCACCUUUGAAAAACUCCACCUCUGAGCACAUGAGAGCUUUGGACCAAAACCAUAAAAUCUGCCUGUAUUUACUCAGAUGUUAAUGUUGAAUUCUUCAGAUUACCCACAAAAUACCCCAGACAUGUUCGUGAGUAUGCAUCCCACAAAUGCACAUGGAUGAAGUGCAGAGCUGUUCAUCGAGGUAAUUGUGCCUUUAACUUCUGUUAGUAGAGCAGGCUCUCAAUGCUCACAGAGAAUCAUAUUAUAAAUUCAUGUUGUAAAUGGGUAAAUUAAAACAUUUUCAUUUUACUAAGUAUGCAUGCCAUGCAAGGC